GCUCACCAAGAGGUGUUUGUCUAACCUGUUCUUAAAGGCUUCCUACAGCAGAAUACCACAGCCUACAUAGAUGGAAAGCUACAGCUACCAAAAAGGAUGUUACCCAGCACAACAACCAUCCAUCUGCCUGCCAGGUGAGCUGCCAAAAGAGGCAUGAGGAUGAUGACAGGAAAACUAUCAGCAAGCCUUUACCAGCGACAGCCAUCAAGACAC
rnacentral:lncRNA from 1 species